UACGCCAGAAGCGAACACCAAGGUGGAAUUAUACAUGCAUGUGCUUUAUUGGGGAAAUGCCUGUGUCGGAACAUCUCAGGAAACCAGAGGAGGCAGGGAGUCUCAGGCCUUGAAGAACAUUUACAUACCAGCUAAGGAGCAGGUGUGACCAACUGACCCACAGCUAUGAGGCCAUACCUGACAUCACAUCAACAAUUGGACUGGAGAAGGACUUUGACAGCUUGUGUUACAGGCUCCUUCCACUUCCCUCCCCCGCUCUGAGCACCUGCAUUACAAAGCGAGGAGGCAGGCCGUGGGGGAACACAGUCUUCAGGUCCUGGAGGGGUACGCUGUAGUGCCGACCCUCGUGCUGCUCCCCGUGCUUGGCCUAGGCAAUAAACAGGCAAACAGUGUAUACAAAGCUGUUGUCGGCCUGAAUGAUGAAGCCAGUUGCUCAGCAACAUAAACCCUAGAUGAGGAGGGAGCAGAGACAAUUCUUGCCAUCUGGAUUCUUCUGUGCUGUGUAUAGAGAUGUUCCAGUCAUGUGACAAGAUCAUCUGCAUGCCACUGUUGCCAUAGAAACCCCAGAGGAACUGGCAGAUAAAGGGACUACAAUUACAGGGAAAAGCUGAAAGGCACUUCAAUGACUUCAUUCACUUAUUCUGUUUCAUUUUGUGCUUGUGAAAGUAGAUGAACGCUAGAGACAUAAA